GGUUCCGUGCUGCAAUGGUUAGCACUCAGGACAAUAAAUCCAGCGAUCCGAGUUCAAAUUUUGGUGGAACCG